AAUCAACGCUGGCGGCGUGCCUAACACAUGCAAGUCGAGCGAGAAAGGGUAGCAAUACCUGAGUAAAGCGGCGCACGGGUGAGUAACACGUGGAUAACCUGCCUCGAAGUGGGGAAUAACCCCGGGAACGGAGCUAAUACCGCAUAUUCUGACAAGGUCUGUGGAUUUUGUUCAGGAAAGGAGCAAUUCGCUUUGAGGAGGGGUCCGGCGGCUGAUUAGCUAGUUGGUGAGGUAANGGCUCACCAAGGCCACGAUCAGUAGCCGGUCUGAGAGGACGGGUCGGCCACACUGGAACUGAGACACGGUCCAGACUCCUACGGGA
rnacentral:rRNA from 1 species